GACGAACGCUGGCGGCGUGCCUAAUACAUGCAAGUAGAACGCUGAAGGAGGAGCUUGCUCUUCUGGAUGAGUUGCGAACGGGUGAGUAACGCGUAGGUAACCUGCCUGGUAGCGGGGGAUAACUAUUGGAAACGAUAGCUAAUACCGCAUAAGAGUAGAUGUUGCAUGACAUUUGCUAAAAAGGUGCAAUUGCAUCACUACCAGAUGGACCUGCGUUGUAUUAGCUAGUUGGUGGGGUAACGGCUCACCAAGGCGACGAUACAUAGCCGACCUGAGAGGGUGAUCCGCCACACUGGGACUGAGACACGGCCCAGACUCCUACGGGAGGCAGCAGUAGGGAAUCUUCGGCAAUGGACGGAAGGCUGAACGGGCAACGCCGCGUGAGUGAAGAAGGUUUUCGGAUCGUAAAGCUCUGUUGUAAGAGAAGAACGAGUGUGAGAGUGGAAAGUUCACACUGUGACGGUAUCUUACCAGAAAGGGACGGCUAACUACGUG
rnacentral:rRNA from 1 species